GAUGAACGCUAGCGAUAGGCUUAACACAUGCAAGUCGAGGGGUAACGUGUUGGAAGCUUGCUUCCGAUGACGACGACCGGCGGAUGGGUGCGUAACGCGUAUGCAACUUGCCUCACAGUGGAGAAUAACCCGGAGAAAUCCGGACUAAUACUCCAUACACUCUUAAGUACGCCUGUACAUGAGAGGAAAGAUUUAUCGCUGUGAGAUAGGCAUGCGUCCUAUUAGGUAGUUGGUGAGGUAACGGCUCACCAAGCCGACGAUAGGUAGGGGUGCUGAGAGGCAGAUCCCCCACAUUGGGACUGAGACACGGCCCAAACUGCUACGGGAGGCAGCAGUGAGGAAUAUUGGUCAAUGGAGGAAACUCUGAACCAGCCAAGUCGCGUGAAGGAAGAAUGUCCUAAGGAUUGUAAACUUCUUUAGCGAGCGAGUAAGGACUUCCACGUGAUGGGAGUUUGAAAGUAGCUCGAGAAUAAGUAUCGGCUAACUCCGUG
rnacentral:rRNA from 1 species